rnacentral:rRNA from 1 species
AUGAUGGAGCAAGACGCGGACCACAACUCCCCGCUGUUCCACGAUCGGUUCACCAAGACAGUCGACUACUACGCCGCCCUCUUCGACAGCCUCAAUGCGGUGGAUGCAGCCAGCCCGCAGAGGGCUCGCGUGGAGAGGGUGCUCCUUGGGGAGGAGAUCAAGAAUAUACUGGUGUGUGACGGGGUCCACCGGCAUGAGCGGCAUGAGAGGCUGAGCCAGUGGGAAAUGCACAUGCAGCGUUGCGAGGUUGACCAUGUGCCGCUCAGCUUUGAAGCCAUCAGGGAGGGCAAGGAGAGGCUGAUGAGCUACGGAUUGAAACAAUGCAAGAGCAAAGAAGACAAGGCCGGCCUUCUGCUGUGCUGGGGUACAACUCGUCUGUACUCCAUUUCAGCCUGGAGACCACACAGCUCGAAUGCGGCGCCAAAUAAUGUGGCUGGCUAG